AGAGCGAACGCUGGCGGCAGGCCUAAUACAUGCAAGUCGAACGGAUCCUUCGGGAUUAGUGGCGGACGGGUGAGUAACACGUGGGAACGUGCCCUUUGGUUCGGAACAACUCAGGGAAACUUGAGCUAAUACCGGAUGUGCCCUUCGGGGGAAAGAUUUAUCGCCAUUGGAGCGGCCCGCGUCUGAUUAGCUAGUUGGUGGGGUAAAGGCCCACCAAGGCGACGAUCAGUAGCUGGUCUGAGAGGAUGAUCAGCCACACUGGGACUGAGACACGGCCCAGACUCCUACGGGAGGCAGCAGUAGGGAAUCUUGCGCAAUGGGCGAAAGCCUGACGCAGCCAUGCCGCGUGAAUGAUGAAGGUCUUAGGAUUGUAAAAUUCUUUCAGCGGGGACGAUAAUGACGGUACCCGCAGAAGAACGCCCCGGCUAACUUCGUGCCAGCAGCCGC
rnacentral:rRNA from 1 species